rnacentral:rRNA from 1 species
UACGGAGGGGGGCUAGCGUUUGUUCGGAAUUACUGGGCGUAAAGCGCACGUAGGCGGCUUUGUAAGUUAGAGGUGAAAGCCCGGGGCUCAACCCCGGAAUUGCCUUUAAGACUGCAUCGCUAGAAUUGUGGAGAGGUAAGUGGAAUUCCGAGUGUAGAGGUGAAAUUCGUAGAUAUUCGGAAGAACACCAGUGGGCGAAGGCGACUUACUGGACACAUAUUGACGCUGAGGUGCGAAAGCGUGGGGAGCAAACAGG